UCUUUGGAGAUGAGGGUAGUCACUGAUCCCAGACGAGUCCCCACAUGAAAGACUCCCAGAGCAGAUAAACCCUCAUUCAAGUCUUGGGAUGAGACAACCCCCCAAGAACUCAUGUAAGACC
rnacentral:pre_miRNA from 14 species